UGACCCCCAUGUCGCCUCUGUAG
rnacentral:miRNA from 1 species